rnacentral:tRNA from 1 species
CGGGGCGUAGCGCAGUUGGUUUAGCGCGCCACGUUCGGGACGUGGAGGUCGCUGGUUCGAAUCCAGUCGCCCCGACCA